rnacentral:lncRNA from 1 species
GACGAACAUGUCCGAAAAGCAGAAGUGCGAGUAAUCGUUAAUGGAAAAGCCACAACCUACACACGCCCUAUCGUGGACAUGAUUCUUCUCGUAGAGAACAACCCUGUGUAAUUAUAUGUAUAUAUAUAUAUAUUGGAUUUAGAUAGGACAUUCACAUGUGUUAUAUUUUAUGGAAUAGUGAUAUCAGAUAGAUUUCAGACGGGGAGUAUUCUGUUUCACAUUCAAUGUUUAUUACAUGUUUUCAUAUUUAUCCGGAACAAAUUGAACUGGACCGAUUUCUCAAAUCACCGUAUUAUCGACUACCUUUAAUUUCUGUGACACCGUCCGCUUCAAUAUUUCAACACAUGGAAAAUGGACGACAUUUGAACUUCCUACGGAAAUCGAGACAUACCACUGUCAAGUACGUUUGAUUCAAUCAUAAACUGUGAUAAAUUAAUCUGUUUUAACUCCGUUAUUUUUAGAUAAGUGGUUUAUAAAUACAUACGAACUGUAAGUUAUUUAUUUCCGAGAAAUGAACUGUAAAUUCUACUUUCGUUUUUGACUCGAUUAAUAAUCUUGUAUUUAACAUUCAUAUUUAAUUC